UACAGAGGUCUCAAGCGUUGUUCGGAUUCAUUGGGCGUAAAGGGUGCGUAGGUGGCGCCAUAAGUCAGGUGUGAAAUCUCGGGGCUCAACCCCGAAACUGCACUUGAUACUGCGGUGCUCGAGUACUGGAGAGGAGAUUGGAAUUUACGGUGUAGCAGUGAAAUGCGUAGAUAUCGAUAAGGAAGACCAGUGGCGAAGGCGAAUCUCUGGACAGUUACUGACACUGAGGCACGAAGGCCAGGGGAGCAAACGGG
rnacentral:rRNA from 1 species